AGAGAGAGAGAGAGGAAACUGAGAAAAGAAAAAAAUUACUGAAUAAAACACAUGUCUCCAAUGUAGGCCACACAAGGUGUAAGACCAGCCCAAAUCUGCGUGCGCCCAAACGAUCCCAACACUUUUACUUUUAUAGUACUUCAAAAAAUGUUUACACAUAGAUUUUUGCUGUCAUUAACCAUUUUACUUUAUUACAAUGUAUGUUCCAAUGUUUUUUUUUUCCGUAUGAAAAUGAUAUUCUUAGACAAAAGGUGAUUUCAAAUUAUUAUUAUUUUUUGGGUAAGUGGGAUUAGUACUAUCUCAUCGUCUAAACUCAAAAAUUUAUUAAUAAAAAAAUAAUAAUACAAAUAUAUCAUCAAUGACAUUGAUUUCAGUGUCAUUAUUAAACAAACCUAGACUCCAAGCCGGAUCCAUCUAAUUUCUAUAAGUGAAGUUUCAGGUUCUUACAAUUAGUAAUUCUGAAAUUGCUUCCUCCAAAUAUUAUGUAUACGAGAGGCAAUUAUCUAUUUUCUAACAAUAGGUCUUGUAAACUCAACCACAGGGUCCGCCCUUUCUUUGUUCUCUAGAGCACUAUAAAUCUCAUUCCUUUUCCAUCCCAUCUUCAUCAACGUAUACAUCUCCCACAUUCCUUCCAAAACAAAGUUACAACACACACAAACACAAAGAUGGCACGCCGCGAGAUGAUCGUUCUUGCUCUCCUCUUCAUUGCUAUUGCUGGGGUUGCAGCUGAGAAAGCAGCAGGCAAACAUGGAGGGCAUCAUGACAAGGGAUCCCAUGACAAGAAGCAAAAGCACAUGGAACCAAACAUCAAGUUAGCUAAACCCACCAAACCUAUUACCAAAAGACCAGGCCCCGCUGCUACCAAACCAGGCCACACCGCUACCAAAGGACCAGGUGCCACCGCUACCAAACCAAGCACCAAUAGUGGGGUACCCUUAACCAUGGAGGGACCACCUAAGCCUGGCAAGAGAGGACACAAGUAAUCUGUGAAGGUCCUAGAGGGGGGGGGGGGUGAAUAGGCCCUGACAACUUUUUUGCUCUAUCCCGCACACAAGGAUAGCAAGGAUUGUGCUAUCCUGUUUGCUGUGAGAGACUAAGUUGUGUAAAUAAAAAGCCAAGUACUGAAAGUAAAAGAUAUAACACCAGUACGUUUUUUAUACGCAGAAACCCUGCAACCAGGGAGAAAAACUGCGUGCCUCUAACUCUUGAGAGACAAACUAUUCCACUAUUGUAAAGACACUUAUUACAAGACUCACAACUCAGAGGAUAGCACAACACCUAGCUAUCCUGCCUAGUCUAACUACUAGCACUCAACUGAACUUGCUCUCUUGUCACUCGAGUGUUUUACACAUAACACGAAUCUAAGCUUCUAUGCAGAAUUCAACUAACACCUUUAGCUAAUUCUCAAAGACAGCUUCGCCGGGGUUGUUGCAUCACCUAGACAAAUCUCAAGGUAUGCAAAUGCACAAUGAUAUGAGUUGAAAAGGUUUUGGUGCUCAGCUCUAAGAUUGACAAUCACAGGGAAGACUUAGAGAUAUAUAAGCAGUUUAGCAAAUGCUAGACUCAAUGGAAGAAAACAAGCAAGACUAUUUUCAACAACCAAAGAGCAAGAGAGGUCUUGCUCUCUAUUUAUAGGCAAAGUGCACAGCUAUGAGGAAGCAAGCACGUUUGCCACAUCAACAAGAUUCUUUUGGACUCUAGCUGCUUGUCUGGACUACUGGGACGGAUAGGACCCUAGGGAUCCCUCCACUCACAAGACAAAAGCUGAGAAUAGACUUUCCUAGGAAAGACUAAAGCCAAAAGGAUAAGACAAAAGGUUUUGGGAAAACUAGAUCAGAUUUAGUCAAACAUAAAGACUCUACAAAACCACUUUACCUAAGAGGACACUUAAGACAACUGAUAGCUUGGGCGGUGCAUCACAUGGGCAGCUGCCAACUUGGUUUUUGAAUCACAAAACCCAGCUGGUUCCCAAAGGCUCAAGUUAUGUGGUCACGGGUUGGUUUGCCACACCAUCCUAGACUAACUUGGAGCUCAAGUACGAAUAGACUAAUGUUUUGCUAAAAGGUAUUUGAAUUUCAAACACUUAAAAACUAAAGCAAACACUUUUGAAUAUGCACAUGGUCAGACCCAGUAGAUAGAACAGAUACAACAAGGGUAUCCGUUUAAUCGGGAUGGCAAACACGGCUGCCAUCCUUAGUGAAUGAAUGUGAUGCACAUGCAUGAACUACCUGAUGCACAUGAGAUCUGUCAGGUUCUUCAUUCUUCACUUGAGUAGUUCUUGCUACCAGACUACAACAUGUAGAAUGUAUCCUUGUGUUUUGAUCAUAAAGGGAUAGCCAACAAUUCUUGUACCAACAAUCUGGCAGCAGCUCCCUAUUUAUUCAUAACUUGGCUUCUUUUUUUUUUUUUUGUAGAGUAUCAAGAUCUGAGGGAGUAAUAGCUAGGCUUUGAACUAUGCAAAUGUAGUGCAUGUGUUUGUGUGUGUACUCAAAAAUAAAAAAGGAUAUAAAUAAUGUGGUCCAUGAUAUGCAAGCAAAUUGUUUCAAAUAUUUCAUGUAAGUGAAUGAUUGACACACACAUAUUGUAUGUGUAUUGAUAUUUACGAGGAAGAUUGAGACUAAUAUCCUCUAAAUUCGAUAAACAACAACAAAAUGAAAGGUCAUUGUUUUGUUUUUUAUAAUAGUUUUCUUCUAACACAUCCGAUCAUUAUCGAAAAAUCCCGCACGACCCAAUGUUAUAAAUGACUAAGACGUAGCUGAAGAGAGCCUUACUAAAGUGUGGUAGCCUUGAGGCAAGGCGUAAACUUUACAGAAAAAAAUACAUAUAUUAAUUUCUCUUGGUUUUAGUUGAACUAGAACUCAUAGUUGCCUUCAAAUCCCUACUCCAUUUACCCAUUAAUACUUUGCAUAUCAUUUACAAGUACUAGUAAUUGCGCCUUCACAUACAAUGUUAUAAUCAUCUAUAUUAUCAUGGUUGAGUCGGCGUUUUAUAAUCACCAACACUGAUAGUACUUUUGGCAUUUAAUAUAGAUAUCAUAUAUUAUGCUAAUGGAAACAAGAAAUACUUCCCCAAUAACGUAUUCACAGAUUAACAAGCUUAAGAAAUUCUAAGGAUAUGCCAGCUGUAUACGGCAGAAUGUAACCGAUACGGCAGUACUUAACCAACUAAAUCAGCUGCAAGAACUGAGCGCAGGAGCUCUGAUCGUGAUGGCAGUGUCCUAUGAAUUCAAGAGGAAGGAAAGGGAGUGUGGAGAAACCAACCGACUUUCAUUUUGCUGUUAUAUUCCUUCAAGCAUUUUGGAAGAAACAUAAGAUGGUAAUCAUGGCACCAAACAACAUCACCCUCUUCAUAGUGCGCAUUAACCACAUCUGCAAACAUUUGAUUUGCCUUCUUAUAUGCAGAAAACUGCGACUGGAAACUCCGAGUGGUGGCAAGUCGGAUCUUCUUGUGGAAGCCCAAGGUAAUGGAAAAGGGGCCAUAAAAUAUUCUUGCAAUAGCCAUUGUAAUAUUUGCGCUAGUCUUUUUUUUUUGGUAAGCAUAGAGGGACUAACUCAUCGUCCCCCCAUGAAAAUUUAUUGAUAAAAAAAAUAUACAAGAAGCUGGAAGACUAGGCCAAUACCAGUCAUAAAGAACAAAUAACCUCUUUUGUAAAUAAACAAAUAAUCACAUAAAAAACAUCAAUGAACACAUGACAAAGACAUUAACAAAUACGAAAAUUCAGGAGACCAAGUGCAUCUUGCCGGCAAUGAUCAACGAUGGAAGGAGGAGGAACAUCCCACCAUGACAUGCCAGUCAAUGACAACCCAAUAUUAGCAAACGCAUCCGCCACUUGAUUACCUUCUCUGAAAAUGUGAGAGGACCGAAAAUGCAUCUAUGAGAUAUGGUGCAAGAAAUUACUCCAGGCCACUCGUAACCGCCAAGGAACAAGAUGAGGAUCCUAAAGAUAUUGAAGGACAAGAGUCGAAUCCACCUCAAGCCAUAUAUGUUUCCAUUCUCUAACCCAAGCUAACUCAAUAGCUUGGAUUACUACCAUGACCUCAGCCUCAACAGAGCUAGGAAUUGGUGCUAGUCUGAUACUGGUACAUACAAAUUUGAUAGUCGGGAAAUUUUAAGAUACUUACGUACAUACAAUCGAUCAUCCCAUAUUGCUAUUAAGACACAACAGAGUAACAGAAAGGCUUGAUAAUUAAGAUGUAGAUGACAUCAAGUGAUCCAUUACUACUACAAUGUUAGACUAAACUAAAUUAAAGAAGAUCCCUCAGUGCUUCAUGUGUAAAGAUGCCUCACUUGUAUCUUUUGUGAGCUAAUUACCAAAGAGAAUCACUUAGUAUCAAGGGAAGUCCAUAUUGAAGGAAACAAAAUGAGAAACAGAAAGAAAGUAGGAAAUGGGAGCUCAAUUACCAGAGAGAUGAAGCGGCAGACGAGAUGGGAUGACAUUUUUUUUUUUUUAAGGGUUUGGAACCCAGCCUAGCUGGGAGGCUUAGCCCCAUGCCUGGAUUUUAUUUAAAUAAAUCAAAAAAAUUACAAAUAGUACUAGAAAGUAAAAAAACCUAAACGAAAAAAUAAAAGAAGAAUAGGGAAACCCAUCUCUUUGGAACAAAACCAAAACAUAAGAAAAGUAGUCAUUCUAAUCAACAAUAAGACGAGAUGGGAUGACAUGAUCAAUUUUGAUGUUUGGGAUGUGAGAGAUCUUGUGCCACUCCAUGCCUUCUCUGAGAAUCCUGCUUCUAUUGAUGCUCAAAUUCUGGAGCGGGGUCUUCCAAAGGAAGUCUGGCAGUGUCUUCAGCUUGUAACAGUUUUCAAUCUCUAAUGUAGAAAGGUCUGGCAUUACCUUAAUACUUGCAAGAGAAUCUUCACUCAACCCAGCUGGCAUUCCUUCCCACUCCUCCCACUCUUCCAGGCCGACGAACACCAAUUUCUUCAGCUUUGGGAACAAAGUGACUUCAAGUGAUGAUGAUGAAGAUGAGGAUGAUUCGAGGGCAUGUCCUACCUUUUUCAAUUUCCGCAUCUUGCGAAAUCGCAGUAUUUCAAGGGACACCAAUUUCCCCAAAACUAGAAGAGGAAGAAAUUCACACCCAUAGCAUGCAUGGAAAGCAAGGUGUUUCAAAUUAUGUAAUGACACGUUCAACCAUCUGGGGCACAAUGUGGUGCCACUGUACCAUGCGAUCUUUAAAGCUUCCAGAUUUGGAUUUGGCUGCAACGCGUUCAGUAUUUCUUCCUGGAUGAUACUGUCUCUUUCCGCAUCCCAUAAGCUUAGUGUCAAAGAAACAAGGUGUUUCUUGUUCACCAAGUUUACUUGCUCCGCAUAUUUCUUGGCGGCAUCAUUCACUGGCUUCCACCAGCAUACUUCAAGCUUCCCCUGAAGCUGAUCCAUGUUUCUCAGGUCACUUGCCUUGGAGCCAUCGUGAAAUAUAUUAACUUGAUCCAGAGUCUGUAGACUCGUCAGCUUGGCAAUUGAUUUCGGCAACUUCAGAGCAUUACUAUUCUUAACACGGAGAUGCCGCAAGUUGGUCAGCUUUCCCAUGCCCUCGGGUAACUCUUCGAGACCUCGGCACUUUUCAAGUCUCAAGGUUUCCAAAUUGAUCAAGUUACACAAAGUGUCGGGUAAUCUCUUCCAAUUGUUGCAAGACAAAUCCAAAUACCUCAAGUGCACCAACCCGCCAACCUUCUCGGGAAGCUCUUCGACACGAUUAUUACUCAAAUUCAAGGUCCUCACGCAUUUUAGUUGCGAAACAAACUCUUGGUUGAGACUAGUAAUUUGACAACUAAAAGUUGCAAGUGUCCUUAAACUUCCGCGACUAUCAAAAGAAACAGAAAAUGGACCAUCGCGUGCAGACGUUAUGGUUAAAUGGCGAAUCUUAUUCCUCACUGGUACCUCUACAUUGGUUUUACCUUGGACAUCCAAGACUGAACAUUCAUUCUUGGUCAAAAACUGAAGGAAGUCGUGCACAAUGUCAUGCAUUUUGCACCUUUUAAUUUUUCCAAAUUUAUCUUUCACAAAAUCUUGAAAGAAAUACCGCGUUACUAAGUUACUGAAAUAUGAUUCUCCAAUGUCUACUGUUGUCUUUUCGGUAUUCCUAAUUGAACCAAAAUAACUUUGUGACAUCCACAACUCAAUCAAAUCAUUUUUGUCAAUUAUAUGGUUUUUUGGGAAAGUACCACAAUAUAAGAGACAACGUUUGAUUAUUGGAUCUAAAUCAUAAUAACUUAGUAACAGCGGUUGAAAAACUUGUUGAGAAACUGGUUGCCCAAACAGUGUAUCCAACUCCCAGAUUUCAUUACUCAAAACAUCUUGCCAUUCUUUCUUUGUUUUCUUAACCCUCAUGAGACCACCUAAGGUCUUGGCAACAAGAGGCAACCCUUUGCACUUCUUUACAAUUUCUCUACCAAUAGGGUCUAAAAUUUUACAUUCAUCUUGAUUUCUAUCGGUAAAGGCAAUUCUAUUGAACAAUAACCAACAAUUUUCGUCACUCAACACCUUCAAAUUGAUUGUGUUAUCAGCUGCUCCCAUCAUCCCAGCCACUUCUUCUUUUCGUGUAGUGACUACUAUUUUACUACCUACAUCACCCUUCUGUAAAACUAUCUUCAACUUUUCCCACUUCCCAUAAUCCUCGUUCCACACAUCGUCUAAGACGAGGAGAAACUUUUCCCCCUCAAUAGACUUGCGCACACACUGGAAGUAAGCUUCUAGGUUACUCGAAAUGGAAUUGACAUUUCCAUCAAGCUGUCCAAUGAUGUCUUUGGCUAUGUUGAGCUCAUCAAAUGGCUCCGAGACACAAACCCAAAUUUGUUUUGUGAAAUUGGCCUUAACCCUAUCAUCAUUAUAGGCUAGUUGGGAAAGUGUUGUUUUCCCAAUUCCACCCAUCCCUACAAUAGGGAUGACAAGAGAGCUCUGCCCUUCAGGAUUGCUCUUACUCAACAACUUAGCCACCAACAAUUCCUUUUCAUCUACCCGACCAAAUGUUUGAUCAACAAAAGAAGUAGUCUUUUGUCGCUCGACAUGCUUAGUACCACUUUUUGUGUACUGAAAGUUAAGAUUCUGGCUCCAAUUAGCAAUUGUUGCUAACCUUUCAUUAAGAUCUUUAAUCUUUUGAGCAAUGUCGUGACGAUAAAUAACUCGACUAACUUUGCCAGAACAAAAGAAAGCAGUAUGAAUGCAUAGACGUACCUUCUUCUUAGUCGUAUCAACAGCAUUUCCACUUUCUUCUUUCUCUUGUUUCUCAAUAUGUAGCCUCAGAAUUCCAGUGUUCCAAUCAUCCAACACAUCCUCCAUCUCGUUGGACACGUCCUUUAAAUCAUCCAGCCACAACUUUACAGAAGCCUCUUUCACUUGCCUCUCCUCUGCAUCUUUGAGCACAGCCCCUAUUGCUCGAAAAUUGUGGGUGAGAUUUUCAACAUCUUUCUCAACAUUCACAACCAAUGUCACAUGUUUUUCUACCUGUUGAUGGAUGAUUGAAGCCAGUUGUUCUAGGAGAACAGAAACGAGUGCUUCAGCCAUCAGAAGUUGAAGUACUUGUGGUGGAAACAAGGGAAGAAAUUUGAAACGAGAACGAUACAAUCAGAAAGGAAACAAACUAGGGGUUGGGCUUGUGGUAUUAACAUAAUCUUCCCCAAACAGCUUUAUAGUGAUGAGGUUGAAGAAUGUUUCCAAGGCAGUGCUAGCAUAACCACUUGGUCACGGCAAUGGCGAAUCGAAGUUAUUCCUUGCUCCUUGGCCUCAAUUGUUGCUUUUCCUUAGAUUCUUUGCCUUUCAUCCUCUUCCUGUUCUAUUUGUUCUAUUACCCAAAAAAACGUUCUAUUUGUUCGAGUUUCAUUUCUGAAGGCUCAGUAGUAUUCUUUACUUCAUCCUUUUUCAUUUCUCCCUGUAUGUUUCAUUUCAGUUUGGUAUCAGACCAAUCCUCCAAAAAUCAAUGGUAUAAUUACUAGUUCUAUGAAAACUUUCUAAAAAUUCAAAGGUAACUGUGUUUACAAAUAAAACCCUAUAUUAGAGAAACAAAUCAGGGUAAGGAUUUGCAUAAAUCUCUCUGAGAAAAUGAAAUUUACACUAACAAGUUCACCCCCAAACCCCACUAUUUGUGUAGGUGAUACAAAUCGCUAAAUGAAAUGCGGCAUGUCAUUGUUGAUCAUUAAUUUGGUAAAAUGUUGAGAUACAAGUUCAACAAAUAAUAUAAUACCUAACUACAUGUUGUCCAAUUUGGUAAGGGUAAAAAGCAGAAUAGAUGACUGCAAGGCUCGUUCAAGACCAUUCCUGAAGGGAGUCUGAGAAGAAGAAAAGUAUCUAGUGCUUAUAUUGUAGUUGACUGAUACCGGACUAGAGGUUAUCUCUCAGCCAUUUUAAAGCACCAUUUGCAACAGACCUGAAAAUUCCAACAUCUUUAAGGGUCAACUGCACUGAAUAGCAAAGAUAAAAAACAAAAAUGGUAUCCAACCAAUGACAUAGUACCGUUCGUGAAAACGAUAUAGCAUCACAACGCACAAGAGCUUGCUAUUCAAUCAAAGGCUACCGUCUAUGCAUGUGUAUGUAUAUCCCAAUUUUCUAACAUAAGUACAUAACAGCUCUAGGAAAUUGGUAAGCAACGGAUUUUUUUCCUUUGAUUAGAGUUACAGUUUACACUUGGUAAUUGACGACUAUACUAAGUAGGGAGUAUAUGACAGAUGACAGAGAUGAGUGAGCUUACCCCGCAAAGUCUUUUAACUUCUUCCAUGGGUCACUCGAAUCUUCUUCUUCCACUGUUUCAUCUGCAACAGUUCCCACCUCAGUUUGAGUCUUUGCUGCAGAAUGAAGAGAAGAAUUCAAGUCAGAUAAAUUUAUAUACCUAAUCUGAAAGAAAAGUUCUGCCAUGCAUAUCAUCUAUAUCCACUCACCCUGAGUUUCAAAAUUUAUAUAUGUUUACCAAGGGAUUUGAAAUCUCUCAGGAUGAGUGCUCAUAUAUGCACAAACAAAGAGCACAUCCUCAUACGGUAAAAGUGAGCACUUACCAACUGGCUGAGUCUUGGGUCGAGUACGUGAACGGCUGGCGGUAGUAUUACUGAGUAAAGCAAGUUCUUCAAGCAAUUCACGUUCCUUGACACUACAUGAAAAGAAAAUCUGGGGUUAAAUUCCACUAGUGGUGUCCAUUGUUUACAGCUUACAACAUUACCAGGUUUAACCGCAUAUAUCUUUCCUCCCUCUACUCCCCUCUCCCCGAUUUCAGUACAUAUUUUUUAUUUUCUGCACAGCACAACCAAGUAUGCAGGUGAACAGACCCCUCUGCCUUUCAACAGUUUUAUUCUCUCUUUAAUUGUCCUUUUGUUUCUGAGGUUUAAGUAUCGUUUGGACUUUGGAAGCUACUUCCAUAUAUUCUGUACAGAUCAAAGUCUCGACAAAGUAGUUCUGUUUAAUUGAAAUCUAUCUUUCUAGCAUGUUAGUGUCUUCUACUGUCAUAAGGAUGUUCUACUGUUCUAUCACAAGCACAGCUUAUAUGGUUCUACAGAACAUACGCCAAAAAAAUACUUGAAACACGUUAUAGACUAACAGUGAACUGAACUAGGAAAAGGAUAGGGGAAGGGAAAUGAAGAAGUGACACUUCAGCUACGUACCCUAUACAAAAUAGAGGGAACUGUUACCUGAUACGAUUCGGUAUGGCUACUUUUAUUGUAAACACAUGGUCACCACGAAUAGAUGGCUUGUUUAUCUUUGGUACUCCUUUUUUGGCCAGGACUAGAAUAUCACCUGGUUGGGUACCCGGUGGAAUUUGUAGUGUUGUUAAUCCUUCAACUGUUUUAACCUGUUACUCAUGCCAGAACCUCCAUCAGUGGUCAUGCCAGAUACACGCGUGAGGAAAAGGCAGUAAAGAGAACAUGUACCAAAACAAACAUGGUAAUCACUACACAUCCAUACAAUCAAGUUAGUCCAGUAAAAGAAUUUCGAUUCUGAAAGCUCAGACAGAUACAAUAAACUAUUUGGUCCGGAAAGUGCAGAAGCACAAUAAGCAUGUGACAUAGUGAAAGGAGCAAUCACUGUGUGAGCAAGAAGCAUCAUGAACAAGAUUACCAGAACGUUGUUGCAGAUAAUUUUAAACUAUCCAAAACAAAAUAACAUAAAGAUAACUUUGAUGAUGGAUAUAAUCUGAACUAAAAUCUGAGCAUGAAUAAUCCAAUCAAAACUUUACCUGAACAACAGUUCCCAAUAUGGCGUCCAGAUAGCUUAUGGAUACUGUUGAAGAGAGAUUAAUCCCAUCUCUUCGAAUUCCUUCUAUUUCUUCAACAUCAAGAUAUACAUAAAGAUCCCCGGGAGGGCCCCUGAUGGAAAAUCAAAAUCAACACUUGAUUCUAAACCGUGCUAUAUAUGACACAAAUGACGAAAUUAUAGGUACAGAAUCACAGGAUAUAUUUACUGAUUCUCUCAGGAAUAAGAAAAAAACUACUAACUAUUCCCCCCGAGGAUUGAAAGCAAUAUUAUGAGUACUGGAAUAAGGCAACUUUAGUAACAUAACAAAUUUGAAUAAGACACAUUUAAUAAAAUAUGAAAAUUGACACCUAGAUGCAAUCGUCAAAAAGCACAGAUACAUAUAUCCAUAUAACAUAAAUAUUCUAAGAGAACAAGGGGAGCAGGAAAAAGAUAUAGAGAAAUAAUCUAAAGAAACAAGAUGAAGAAGUCUCUAAUCAACUUCACAUGAUUUUUUUUCUUUUUCUUUUUUGGAUUAAUAAUCAGUAUUAAACUUUAUAGAUGACUGAAGUUAUCCAGCAUGCUCGUUGAAUAAGAAGUUAAUGCAAUAUUCACUCAAUGAUCAAUAAGAAGUUAAUCCAUAUUACGGAACCAAAGAAUUUUAUGUUAAGGGAUGUCUUUGUAAAUACCAAAGUUUAAAAUAUGGGUGGUGAUUAGACAUAACAGCACUGAAAUGUCAGGAUACAGCAACAGACAUUAGUUUCAGAGCUUGAUAUCACAAGAACAUGUAGCCUAUAAUGGAAAUAUCAUAGCUUAAACACCAGUAACAUGGAAGUUUGUUCAAUGAUCUAUCCAAACAAAACGUAAAUUCAAACACCUACCCUCUCGGUCCAGCAUCUCCCUCUCCAGCAACUCUGAGAAUACUUCCCUUGCUAACACCAGGAGGAACACACACACACACACACACACACACACACACACACACACACACACACACACACACACACACACACACACACACCUAUCCAGAACAAAGCUUCGCUCUGAAAUUAAAGUGUGAAGUUCCUUAUUUGACUCACUUUUUCGUCAUAUUUCCUCAUCUCUACCGUUUAGUUUCUAGAACCUUAUGCAUAGAUCAUUUCUGCAAAGUUUCAUCUAAUUUGAUGAUCGUUUGAGUUUUUAUAAUCGUUAUUUACACAAAUAGUUGUGGUUAGAUAAAUUUAUGGUCUGUUCAUUGAUUUGAUCUAAUUCAGUACCCAAAUAAUCAUCAAUCUUGAUGAAAUGUUGUAGGAAUGAUCUAUACAUUAGUAUCAAUAAUCUGAACGAUGGAGAUAUGAAAAUAUGACGAAAAAUUGAGUAAAAUAAGGAACUUCACACUUUAAUUUCAGAGCGCAACUGUAUAUUUAAUUUCAGAACGCAACUGUAUAUAUAUACUCAAAACCAACGGUUGAGAUCAAAUGGUGCUUAUUAUAUGGUCUAGAUCGCAUGCUGAGUUUUCUUUCACUUAAACCAAAUUCCUUUAUUUCCGAAAUACGAAAUAAAUGGUUCACAUGUCCGAAAAUGUUCAUGAGAAUUACCACGGACACAUCACAAAACGUACUUCAUUAUCUCUAAACAUAAAUAUUUCUUUUUUAAUAUAUCUGAAAAACUUUCCGACUUUCCGAUACACUUCACGAGAUAACAGUUUUAAAUGUCAAACUAUCCAACUUUAGCUCUUUAAAUAUUUACGGGGUCUCACAGGAUCGCCUUGCCUAAUACCACCGGAAAGGAAGGGAAGUUACCAACAAAAUAAUGUAAGUGAUCCUUGACAUGAGGCCAAAUCAUUUGAUAAUGUUUAGCAUUAAUGCCAUCAGGGCCAGAGCCUUUAAAGGACUAAUGUCUUUAACAGCUUGAAAAAUCUCCAUCAUAGUUACAGGUGCAAUAAGAGACUGAUUAUCAGCAUCAAUAAUGCAAGUAGGGAUUACCCCAGUGAAAUGAUUUAGAGCAGUAUGGGAAAUAGUAGAAACAUUAGUAAAACGUUUGGAAAAAGAACUGACCAAAAUGUGAACAAAAUGGUUUUGAUCAGCAGUCCAAAACCUAGAUUCAUCUUUUAAACGAAGAAUCUGGUUUCGUUUAUGUCGAAUAGUAGCAUGCAUUUGGUAGAACUUAUUAGAAUUGAAAUUUGUUUAGUCCUUGUGGUUUGAAGUCGACAUCUGUUCAGUCCUUGUGGUUUUAUUUUAAUCUGAAUGGUCCUUAAAAUCAUGAUUUUUCAUCUAAAUGAUCUUUCCAUCAAUUUUUUCUGUUAGAAUAUUUUCGUGGCCGUUAAAGACAUUGUAAUUUUUAACGGCCACGUCAGCAAUUUAACUGAGAAAAUUGACAGAAUGACCAUUUAGAUGAAAAAUCGUUACUUUAAAGAUCAUUCAGAUUAAAAUAAAACAACAAUGACUGAAGAAAUGUCGACUUCAAACUAUAAGAACUAUACAAUAUUUUACCCAACUUAUUAUUUUUGUCCCCAAGUUGUAGCCGUUUGGCUUUGGCUCUUUGAGCCCAAAAUAGUUCCUCCUGUUUACCAAGUGCUUCAAGUUUUAUAGUAAGUUGACAAACUUGAAGUUGUUGUGUAUGAGACAAUGAAGGUAGUGAAGCAAAAUAUUGAAAGUGGGUAUGAAUGGUAGCCAUUUUAUGGAAAAGAUUACCAAAAUCUGUUUUGUUCAAAUUUCGAGUAGUAUAUUGAAACGCCUGGAUUUUGGCAAUUACAUUCUCACAAGGAUUUCCAGAAAUGGGAGUAUCCCAUGUGUUCUGAACCAAAGUUGGAAAAUCUUGAUGAGAUAACCAGAUAGUCUCUAGUCUAUAAGGCCUUUGAAGGCUAUGCAAUUUACGAAACAAGGACAGCAAAAUAGGACCAUGAUCAGAACCAUAUAUGGGUAAAUUAACCAAAGACGUAUGAGGAAAAGAACAAUAAGCAUAAGUAUUAGCUACAGCACGAUCUAAUCGUUCACACAUUUUUUUUUUCAUGCCCCCCUCAAUAAGAUGAAGAAUAUUAUUGAAAUCACCCAACAUAAUAACUCCAAUCCCAGGAGCGGCUUUUCAAAAUGUUGUUUUGGGCAGCAAAACUGACUUUAUUUUGGUUUUAUUGUUUUAGGCAGCAAAAUCUUGGGCAGCAAACUCCAUCCUAAAAUCUUGGUUUUGCUGCCCAAAACAAAGAUGGUUUUAUUGCUGCCCGAAAAAACAUCUUGAAAAAUAUUAUUGUUUUGGUUGCGCUAGCGCUUUUCAAGACUGAUUUUUUUUUUUUGAAAAGAUGAUUUUCUUAGACAAAAUGUUAUUUCAAAUUUAUUAUCGAUGAUAUUGAUUUCAGUGUCAAAUGUCAAACAAACCUAGACUUUGGUCCGAAUCCAUCUUAUUUCUAAAAAUAAAAGUUCCCGUUCUUGAUAUUUAGUAACUCUCAAAUGGCUUCCUCCAAAUCCUAUGAAUAUGAGAGGCUCUUCUUUAUUUUCUAACAAUAGGUCAUGUAAACCCAACCACGGGCUCCGCCCUUUCUUUGCUCCCUAGAGCACUAUAAAUCUGAUUCUCUUUCCAUCCAUCUUCGUCCCUUCCAUUACAUCUUCAUUAGCACAUCUUCCACAUUCCUUCCAAAGCAAAGUUACAACACACAAAAACAUAAAGAUGGCACGCCGCGAGAUGAUCGUUCUUGCUCUCCUCUUCAUUGCUAUUGCUGGGGUUGCAGCUGAGAAAGCAGCAGGCAAGCAUGAAGGGCAUCAUGACAAGGGACAUGCAGGCGCACCCAAGCCAAGCCAUGACAAGGGAUCCCAUGACAAGAAGCAUAAGCACAUGGAACCAACUAUCAAGUUAGCUAAACCCACCAAACCUGCUACUAAAGGACCAGGCGCCGCCGCUACCAAACCAGGCGCCACCGCUACCAAAGGACCAGGCACUACCGCUACCAAACCAGGCGUCAAAACUGGAAAACCUUUAACCAGGGAGGGACCAGCUAAGCCUGGCAAGAAAGGACACUAAGUAAUCUUCUAGCAACUCCCUUUUUUUCCAAAGCCUGGCUCCUUCUUUCUUUUUAAGAGCAUCAUAUCUGAGAUUCGGAGGGAUGGUAGGCUUUAAACUAUAGAAAUUUACUACAGAUUUGGCUCACCUAGUUAGCAUUACGAACAAAUAAACAUGGGUCUCAUUGCAGACCUCACACGUACAUGUAAAUGUUCAUUUUGCAAUACAAUAAAUUGUCAUAUUGAUCAAUCUUUUUUUUUCUGAUUGAGCAUAUUGUAAAUGUAGUACAGUGCGGUAUGCCAUGCAUGCAUCCCCUAAUAGGAGUUGUGUGCACGUGCUUUGCAGGUGGGGGUGAGUGUUUUGUUUUGAAAUUUUUGGCCUUGAAAGCAGGCUGCAUGCAGCGUUGUUGGUUCAAACCUCAAACUCGUCUAAAAUCAGUAAAAUGUACAUGUUUUUCAAUUGGUUUCACUGUAUUGUUCUACUUAUAAUGCGGUAAGCUUUAUUCUAGAUUCCAACAAUCAACUGUUCACAUUUGCGAUACCAACAAAAUAAAAUAAACCAUGAAUAAAUAAGUAAACUUUCAUCUGCAUAUUUUUGGAUUUACACAGGUUGGAUCAGCCUGCAGCCUGCUAUUAAUGUUUCUACUCACUUUUUACUGGCAAAAUGUUCACCCCCAUUGACAACUCUGUCGCCCCUCCAGAAAAUGAAGCACAUAUAAACUACAAAUCUACAAUCAUCCUCAAUUCCUCAUAUCACUUGGACUUGUAUUAUAGUUGUAUCCCAAAAGUAAAUUCUUCCUUCAAUUUAAGGGAAAAGGUAACAAGGGAAUUCUUGUUCUUUUGAAAUGUAACACAA
rnacentral:lncRNA from 1 species